rnacentral:other from 1 species
AGUCACCUAAGAUGUUGGCAUGUUCAUACAUGUCCCUGGCCGAUGCUUUAACCUAAGGAGGUUGAUUCCACUACUAUUGCGCAAGCUCAACCCGUAUUGAGAAGCCUACGGUAAUGAUGAUACUUCCGCCUUGAACAUUUCGGCGUUCUGGGCGAAUAUGGACUGCGGCAUCUUGGGCGACAC